AUAUCAUGGUGUGGACACUUCCUUAGAUGAUCAUUAUAUCUCUCCCAUGCAUCAUGAAACUGUUCUCCUGAGAUAUGAGAAAAUGCCAUGAUUUCUUUUCUCAUUU